GACGAACCGUCCAAACGUUAUUCGGAAUUACUGGGCUUAAAGGGUGCGUAGGCGGCGCGGAAAGUUGGGUGUGAAAUCCCUCGGCUCAACCGAGGAACUGCGCCCAAUACUACCGUGCUUGAGGGAGAUAGAGGUGAGCGGAACUUAGGGUGGAGCGGUGAAAUGCAUAGAUAUGCCAUAGAACACCAAUUGCGAAGGCAGCUGGCUAGACCUGGAUUGACGCUGAGGCACGAAAGCGUGGGGAGCGAACAGG
rnacentral:rRNA from 1 species